rnacentral:rRNA from 1 species
UACGUAGGGUGCGAGCGCUGUCCGGAAUUAUUGGGCGUAAAGGGCUCGUAGGCGGUUUGUCGCGUCGGGAGUGAAAUCCACUGGCUUAACUGGUGGCUUGCUUUCGAUACGGGCAGACUGGAGGUAUGCAGGGGAGAACGGAAUUCCUGGUGUAGCGGUGAAAUGCGCAGAUAUCAGGAGGAACACCGGUGGCGAAGGCGGUUCUCUGGGCAUGUCCUGACGCUGAGGAGCGAAAGUGUGGGGAGCGAACAGG